rnacentral:rRNA from 1 species
CAGUCGCCGCGGUAAUACGAAGGGGGCUAGCGUUGUUCGGAUUUACUGGGCGUAAAGGGCGCGUAGGCGGACUGAUAAGUCAGGGGUGAAAUCCCAAGGCUCAACCUUGGAACUGCCUUUGAUACUGUUUGUCUUGAGUUCGAGAGAGGUAAGUGGAACUGCGAGUGUAGAGGUGAAAUUCGUAGAUAUUCGCAAGAACACCAGUGGCGAAGGCGGCUUACUGGCUCGAAACUGACGCUGAGGCGCGAAAGCGUGGGGAGCAAACAGGAUUAGAUACCCGUGUAGUCCCUGUCUCUUAUAC